UUGAUUAUAUAUUCUUAAUUAUAUUAUAUUACAAUGGUUAACAGUUAAUACUGCACUUGCUUUUCACAUUUUAUAUGACCAGGGAAUAUAAUAGGGGAAUUCCCCAACAGUCCUUUUCUCUAAACAAAUGCAUGAUUGAAGGAAUUUUCCUUUUCUUGAUCAUCUUUCGUAUUAUCAAGAUUUGAUUAGAGUGGCCUCAUAUCUUUUAUAUAUUCUUUCCUCAUACUUUACUGAACCAGUGGCAGGCAUGUCACUUCUCUUUACUCUUAUGCUGCCAAACCUUCUGGUUUUCUUGGCUGGUAGGUUCCGACACAAGGCGUGAGUAAGUGCAGUUGUUUGAAAGAAUGAGGAUAAGUGUUAUGUGAGGCUUACUUACACAUAUGAAAACAACACAAAACCCAAACCAAGAAUACGAUUUUUUUUUGGGUUUGAAUCUUUCUGAACUUUCAGAUCAUUCCUAACUCCCAUUUACCCUUUACUAACCCCUUUCAGAUUAUAAUCAGUAGCUAUUUUUGGCAACUGGGCAUUUGAUUUGUGCCUUGGACAGUUGGAUUGGAUGGAGGCAAGGGCAAGGAUUGCUUUUUUUUGUUCUGUGGUAUUGUCUUGCUUAUGGACACCUGUUUGCGGAUUACUAUCUUCCAAAGGUGUCAACUAUGAAGUGCAAGCUUUGAUGAGCAUUAAGAAUUCACUGAAUGAUCCUCAUAAUGUUCUCAACUGGGACGCAAAUGCUGUGGAUCCAUGCAGCUGGACUAUGAUCACUUGUUCUCCUGAUGGUCUGGUUACCGGCCUAGGAGCUCCUAGCCAAAGUUUAUCCGGCACUCUUUCACCAAGCAUAGGAAACUUGACAAAUCUCCAGCUUGUGAGUUUUGCAGGCUGCUGCAGAACAACAACAUUACAGGGCAUAUACCCUCUGAGUUUGGGAGGCUUUCAAAGCUCAAAACACUUGAUCUUUCUAAUAACUUCUUCAGUUGUCAAAUUCCCAAUUCUCUAUCCAAUCUGAAAAACAUCCAAUACUUGUAAGUAUUAAUAGUAUAUAAUACUAUAUUUGGCAUGUGUUCUUCCCAUUCCCUUUCAUUCCUUAUCCCCUAUUUUCCCUACAAAUUUUAAAUUUAUGAUGUAGUUUAUUUGAAUCUUGUAUUUUGGAAUCAGGAGGCUAAACAAUAACAGUCUGUAUGGACCAAUUCCUUCCUCUUUAGCUAACAUGACACAACUUUCCUUUCUGUAAUUCUCUUCAAACCUUACCCUUCAUUGUUAUGCAUACAUUUCCCCUGAUAAAAAUUAUUGAAGAUCUAAGUGGGUUUCAUUUAAUUUUCUAGGGACUUGUCUUACAAUAAUCUGAGUCCUCCUGUACCUAGUUUUCAUGCUAAAACCUCCAAGUAAGUCAAUCCCGAAAAUUUCCUUUUUCCUCUACCUCACCUUCCAUAUCAAAUAUGAAGUUGAAUUACUAUUAUAUUUCGUCCAUUAUUUGUUUACUUAUUGGUGUGUGGAUUAACACAGCAUUGUAGGAAACCCUCUGAUAUGUGGAACUGCAAAAGACUGUCCUGGAUCCGUACCGACUCCACAAUCUUUGUUCUUGAAUAAUUCACAAAGUAAUUAUAGUUCCCACCUUGAAAGUUCCUCUACUAACUUGGAAGUUCAAAUUUUUCUGCUCUAAAAUCUGUUGUGCCCCUUUCUUUAAACUUGUACUUUCUUUUUAGUUAUAAUUUAUGUUGCUUUUGACUUUGGAUUCAAGUUCAUGAUUGUUUAUCCUGUUUGUGUUUUUGAGAUAGCAAAGCUUUCUUUGGCAGUUUCAAAUUUCUAAUGUUAAAUAGUCCAUAGUAGUCUGCUUUAGAAUUUUUUUUUUUUUAAUCCUCACAUGUUUGCCUUUGCUUCUUAAGACUCUCAACCUUCUGGAAGUGGAAAGAGUCACAAAAUUGCCUUGGCCUUUGGUUCAAGCCUGGGCUGUGUCUGUCUGUUGAUUCUUGGAUUCGGUUUUCUUCUAUGGUGGAGGCAAAGACGCCACCAGCAAAUAUUCUUUGAUGUUAAUGAACAGCGUCACGAACAACUGAACCUUGGAAACCUGAAGAGAUUUCAAUUCAAAGAACUUCAGGCAGCUACAAACAACUUCAGCAGGAAGAACCUGAUAGGAGAAGGUGGUUUUGGAAAUGUUUACAAAGGGUGUCUCCAAGAUGGAACAGUUGUAGCUGUUAAAAGGCUGAAAGAUGGCAAUGCCAUUGCUGGUGAGAUCCAAUUUCAAAGAGAAGUAGAGAUGAUCAGCCUAGCAGUUCAUCGCAAUCUCCUCCGUCUCUAUGGAUUUUGCAUGACAGCAAAUGAAAGGCUGUUGAUUUACCCUUACAUGUCCAACGGGAGUGUUGCUACUCGUCUCAAGGCCAAACCAGCCUUGGACUGGGGCACAAGGAAAAGAAUUGCCUUAGGAGCUGCAAGAGGUUUACUAUACUUGCAUGAGCAGUGCGAUCCCAAGAUAAUUCACAGGGAUGUUAAGGCUGCAAAUAUACUGCUUGAUGACUACUGUGAAGCUGUUGUAGGAGAUUUUGGAUUGGCAAAGCUAUUAGAUCACAGGGACUCGCAUGUGACCACAACUGUGAGAGGUACUAUGGGACACAUAGCCCCUGAGUAUCUCUCAACAGGUCAAUCCUCCGAGAAAACAGAUGUUUUUGGGUUUGGAAUUCUUUUACUUGAAUUAAUAUCUGGCUUAAGAGCUGUGGAAUUUGGGAAGUCAGCAAACCGCAAAGGAGCCAUACUUGACUGGGUAUGCUAACUGGCUAUGGCUUGAUGUUUUUGUAGUUCACAAAAUUAGAUUACCAUUCCAUGACUGAAAUUAUAAUUCAAAUUGCAGGUGAAGAAGAUUCAUCAGGAAAACAAGCUUGAGUUGUUAGUUGACAAGGAUCUGAAAAGUAACUAUGAUAGAAUCGAGCUAGAAGAAAUGGUUCGGGUAGCUCUGCUAUGCACCCAAUACCUUCCAAGUCACAGACCUAAAAUGUCAGAGGUGGUUCGGAUGUUAGAAGGAGACGGACUUGCUGAGAAAUGGGAAGCAUCUCAGAAAGCUGAAUCAACCAGAUCUAAAGCCAAUGAGUUCUCAUCUUCGGAGCGAUAUUCUGAUCUUACUGAUGACUCUUCAUUGCUCGUCCAAGCGAUGGAGCUCUCUGGACCCAGGUGACAAGAUUCUCAAAAAAGAUGGGAAAGCAUUUUACAUAGCUUGAAAUGAAAAGAAUCCAAGAUAACAUGCUUGUGAAAACAAACUUCUUGUAUAUUAGCAAACAUAUUGCAGCUCUAAAGCUUCAUUUCAAAUUUUCUUACUGUACAGAAUCGGGAUUUGAAAUUGACAUACAGUUGAGCGAUACAUGUCUUCCUGUUCCUGUUUGAGUGAAGAUUUUUCUUAUUUUCGGAGAUUUUCAUCUGGGGUUGAAUGUAAUAAUCAUCCUUCAAUAAAAUAUUGUUUCUUCUGCUUAAACUCCUAUUGCAUCUCACGUUUUGAAGAGAAAUAGUGGAAAUUACUAUAAAAAAUCUGAUGCUUGUACUCCUGAAAUUUAUUCGUUAAGGUUGUGUAUGGGCAUAUAAUGCAUAGAAUAGAUGCUUUCGCAGAGAUGAGGAUGGGUUGUAAUACUGAUUCCCGAUAGGGUAUUCGUUCAUCUGCCUAGUAAUAAUUAUAGAAGGUUACUGAAUUGGUGUCUUGCCCCUGUCCAUUUAACCUUCAGAUUAGGAGAGUUUGC
rnacentral:misc_RNA from 1 species